rnacentral:rRNA from 1 species
AACGAUAAUGCGGGUGAAAUACCCGCACGCCGUAAGACUAAGGUUUCCUGGAUCCAUGUUAAUCAGAACAGGGUUAGUCGGGGCCUAAGGAAAAGCCGCAAGGCGGAUCCGAUGGGAAAUCGGUUAAUAUUCCGAUACCUCUAAAUAUUUCGAAGCGGGGACGAAGGAGCGUAAGGCAUGCGUACUGACGGAAUAGUACGUUAAAGGCCAUAGGCGUUGAGGAUAAUAGUUAAGUACGUUAUCCGAGCUGAAAGCUGAUAGUACUGAUUACUUUUCGGAGUAAUUAGAUAAUUGCCCCAAGCAGGCUUCCGAGAAAAGCCGCUAAGGUUAGGUAUUUAGAGCCCGUACCGUAAACCGACACAGGUAGUCGAGGAGAGUAUCCUAAGGCGCUCGAGUGAUUCGUGGCUAAGGAACUAGGCAAAAUAGGCUCGUAACUUCGGGAGAAGAGUCCCCUGAGUAAUCAGGGCGCAGUGAAGAGGCCCAGGCAACUGUUUAACAAAAACACAGGACUCUGCUAAAUCGAAAGAUGAUGUAUAGGGUCUGACACCUGCCCGGUGCUGGAAGGUUAAGGAAGGGGGUUAGUCGCAAGGCGAAGCUCUUAACUGAAGCCCCAGUAAACGGCGGCCGUAACUAUAACGGUCCUAAGGUAGCGAAAUUCCUUGUCGGGUAAGUUCCGACCUGCACGAGUGGUGUAAUGAUCUGGGCACUGUCUCAGCCACGAGCUCGGUGAAAUUGAAGUAUCGGUGAAGAUACCGAUUACCCGCAACGGGACGGAAAGACCCCGUGAACCUUUACUAUAGCUUAACAUUGUGUUUGGUUGUAUGAUGUGUAGGAUAGGUGGGAGACUUUGAAGUGGUUACGCUAGUAGUCAUGGAGUCGUCGUUGAAAUACCACCCUUUAUGCAAUUAGAUUCUAACCGUGCACCGCAUGGGACAUUGUUUGGUGGGUAGUUUAACUGGGGUGGUCGCCUCCAAAAGAGUAACGGAGGCUCGCAAAGGUACCCUCAGCAUGGUCGGUAAUCAUGCGCAGAGCGUAUUAGUACAAGGGUGCUUGACUGGGAGACGGACGCGUCGAGCAGGUACGAAAGUAGGCUAAAGUGAUCUGGUGGUUCCGUAUGGAAGGGCCAUCGCUCAAAGGAUAAAAGGUACUCCGGGAUAACAGGCUGAUCUCCCCCAAGAGCUCAUAUCGACGGGGAGGUUUGGCACCUCGAUGUCGGCUCGUCACAUCCUGGGGCUGGAGAAGGUCCCAAGGGUUCGGCUGUUCGCCGAUUAAAGUGGCACGCGAGCUGGGUUCAGAACGUCGCAAGACAGUUCGGUCCCUAUCUGUUGUGGGCGUAGGAAUAUUGAAGGGCUCUGACUCUAGUACGAGAGGACCGAGUUGGACGAACCUCUAGUGUAUCAGUUGUGCCGCCAGGUGCAGUGCUGAGUAGCUACGUUCGGUGUGGAUAAGCGCUGAAAGCAUCUAAGCGCGAAGCCCUCCCUAAGAUGAGUAUUCCAGCGAGGCAACUCGCGAAGGGACGUGGAAGAUGACCACGUUGAUAGGCUAUAGAUGGAAGCGUAGUGAUACGUGCAGUCGAGUAGUACUAAUUACCCAAUAACUUCCUG